UACGUAGGGUGCAAGCGUUAAUCGGAAUUACUGGGCGUAAAGCGUGCGCAGGCGGUUUUGUAAGUCUGUCGUGGAAGCCCCGGGCUCAACCUGGGAAUUGCGAUGGAGACUGCAAGGCUUGAAUCUGGCAGAGGGGGGUAGAAUUCCACGUGUAGCAGUGAAAUGCGUAGAGAUGUGGAGGAACACCGAUGGCGAAGGCAGCCCCCUGGGUCAAGAUUGACGCUCAUGCACGAAAGCGUGGGGAGCAAACAGG
rnacentral:rRNA from 1 species